rnacentral:rRNA from 1 species
GAAGGCGCUCUGGCUGAUGACCUGAGGGCGAAAGCGUGGGGAGCACAGGAUUAGAUACCCUGGUAGUCCACGCCGUAAACGAUGACUAUGUGGUUGCUUGUGGAUAACGCAUUAAGUCCCCUGGGGAGUACGGCCCAAGGUAAACUCAAAGGAAUUGCGGGGGCCGCACAAGCGGUGGAGCAUGUGGUUUAAUUCGAAGCAACGCGAGAACCUUACCAGGUUUGACAUUGACACCCAGAGAUGGUUCUCUUCGGGACAACAGGUGUGCAUGGGUCGUCAGCUCGUGUCGUGAGAUGUUGGGUAAGUCCCGCAACGAGCGCAACCCUGUUAGUUCCAUCAUUUGUUGGGACUCUAAGGACGCCGGUGAAACCGGAGGAAGGUGGGGAUGACGUCAAUCUCAUGCCCUUAGUGGGCUACACACGUGCUACAAUGGACUACAGGCGCGACCGCGAGGGAGCUAAUCCAAAGUUCUCAGUUCGGAUUGUCUGCAACUCGCAUGAAGGGAAUCGCUAGUAAUCGCGGAUCAGCAUGCCGCGGUGAAUAC